ACAGAUUGUUACCUGAAACUUGGUAACAUGAAGAAGGAAUUUCGAGUAAUCGUUGAUUAGUACGCAACGGUGAAUAAUGCAUUCGGGAUGAACUAACUGUCUGUCGCUGGGGCGAAGCUCGGGAUGGGGGAAACUGUCGCAAAGUUACAACUUCU
rnacentral:ncRNA from 1 species